rnacentral:rRNA from 1 species
CAGCCGCCGCGGGAAUACGUAGGGUGCGAGCGUUAAUCGGAAUUACUGGGCGUAAAGCGUGCGCAGGCGGUUCGUUAAGACAGAUGUGAAAUCCCCGGGCUUAACCUGGGAACUGCAUUUGUGACUGGCGAGCUAGAGUAUGGCAGAGGGGGGUAGAAUUCCACGUGUAGCAGUGAAAUGCGUAGAGAUGUGGAGGAAUACCGAUGGCGAAGGCAGCCCCCUGGGCCAAUACUGACGCUCAUGCACGAAAGCGUGGGGAGCAAACAGGAUUAGAUACCCCAGUAGUCCCUGUCUCUUAUAA